rnacentral:rRNA from 1 species
GGCGGCGUGCCUAAUACAUGCAAGUCGAACGAACGGAGGAAGAGCUUGCUCUUCCAAAGUUAGUGGCGGACGGGUGAGUAACACGUGGGCAACCUGCCUGUAAGUUGGGGAUAACUCCGGGAAACCGGGGCUAAUACCGAAUGAUAAAGUGUGGCGCAUGCCACGCUUUUGAAAGAUGGUUUCGGCUAUCGCUUACAGAUGGGCCCGCGGUGCAUUAGCUAGUUGGUAGGGUAAUGGCCUACCAAGGCAACGAUGCAUAGCCGACCUGAGAGGGUGAUCGGCCACACUGGGACUGAGACACGGCCCAGACUCCUACGGGAGGCAGCAGUAGGGAAUCUUCCGCAAUGGACGAAAGUCUGACGGAGCAACGCCGCGUGUAUGAAGAAGGUUUUCGGAUCGUAAAGUACUGUUGUUAGAGAAGAACAAGGAUAAGAGUAACUGCUUGUCCCUUGACGGUAUCUAACCAGAAAGCCACGGCUAACUAC